rnacentral:rRNA from 1 species
GAUGAACGCUGGCGGCGUGCCUAAUACAUGCAAGUCGAGCGAACGGACGAGAAGCUUGCUUCUCUGAUGUUAGCGGCGGACGGGUGAGUAACACGUGGAUAACCUACCUAUAAGACUGGGAUAACUUCGGGAAACCGGAGCUAAUACCGGAUAAUAUUUUGAACCGCAUGGUUCAAAAGUAAAAGACGGUCUUGCUGUCACUUAUAGAUGGAUCCGCGCUGCAUUAGCUAGUUGGUAAGGUAACGGCUUACCAAGGCAACGAUGCAUAGCCGACCUGAGAGGGUGAUCGGCCACACUGGAACUGAGACACGGUCCAGACUCCUACGGGAGGCAGCAGUAGGGAAUCUUCCGCAAUGGGCGAAAGCCUGACGGAGCAACGCCGCGUGAGUGAUGAAGGUCUUCGGAUCGUAAAACUCUGUUAUUAGGGAAGAAUAUAUGUGUAAGUAACUGUGCACAUCUUGACGGUACCUAAUCAGAAAGCCACGGCUAACUACGUGCCAGCAGCCGCGGUAAUACGUAGGUGGCAAGCGUUAUCCGGAAUUAUUGGGCGUAAAGCGCGCGUAGGCGGUUUUUUAAGUCUGGUGUGAAAGCCCACGGCUCAACCGUGGAGGGUCAUUGGAAACUGGAAAACUUGAGUGCAGAAGAGGAAAGUGGAAUUCCAUGUGUAGCGGUGAAAUGCGCAGAGAUAUGGAGGAACACCAGUGGCGAAGGCGACUUUCUGGUCUGUAACUGACGCUGAUGUGCGAAAGCGUGGGGAUCAAACAGGAUUAGAUACCCUGGUAGUCCACGCCGUAAACGAUGAGUGCUAAGUGUUAGGGGGUUUCCGCCCCUUAGUGCUGCAGCUAACGCAUUAAGCACUCCGCCUGGGGAGUACGACCGCAAGGUUGAAACUCAAAGGAAUUGACGGGGACCCGCACAAGCGGUGGAGCAUGUGGUUUAAUUCGAAGCAACGCGAAGAACCUUACCAAAUCUUGACAUCCUUUGACAACUCUAGAGAUAGAGCCUUCCCCUUCGGGGGACAAAGUGACAGGUGGUGCAUGGUUGUCGUCAGCUCGUGUCGUGAGAUGUUGGGUUAAGUCCCGCAACGAGCGCAACCCUUAAGCUUAGUUGCCAUCAUUAAGUUGGGCACUCUAAGUUGACUGCCGGUGACAAACCGGAGGAAGGUGGGGAUGACGUCAAAUCAUCAUGCCCCUUAUGAUUUGGGCUACACACGUGCUACAAUGGACAAUACAAAGGGCAGCGAAACCGCGAGGUCAAGCAAAUCCCAUAAAGUUGUUCUCAGUUCGGAUUGUAGUCUGCAACUCGACUACAUGAAGCUGGAAUCGCUAGUAAUCGUAGAUCAGCAUGCUACGGUGAAUACGUUCCCGGGUCU